UGGGCAACAAGAGCGAAACUCCAUCUCAAAAAAAAAAAAAGAAAAGAAAAAAGAAGAGAGAGAUUCUACAGAGACAUAUUGGAGCUCGCUCAAAUGUGAGCCACCAGAUAAGGGCUGCUGGAAGGAGGCGAAGAAAGAUGACUCAGAACAUGACAUCUGUCUUCAUGUGAAAGAAUGGGUAGAACUGAUGUGGCACUACGAAUUAUCUGUAGGGCAAAGGACUGGAAGUUAAUUGAAGAUAGAUUUUAAUUCAAAACAAGGAUCAGUUCUUUAAGAGUCUGAAGAAGGGUUAUUUUAGGAAGUAGCUGCCUCUGCCCCCUUCCCACCUGUUGCAGUGGAUCAAAUAUACACUGAAUCACUACCUCAUUCAUUCAACACUCAUUUCAUGAAGGCUUAACGCAUUGCUGUGGGGCUUACUCUGCCGCCGACCUGGGGCCUAGCUAGGCUUUGUAGUCUAUAUAGUCUCAUAGUCCUGCAAACUGGCUCCAGCCCAGGAAAUCACCCUGUGUAGGAGUGGCUGCAGUCAAGACGCAGGAAGACAAUCCUGAGGGGACCUGACAUCCAGCAUCUGAGUUCAGACUACUAUAGUUUGAAUAAGUGACCUGCAGAUUCAUUACACACAAGGGAACAUGUCUUCCUUUUGUUGGAUUGAACUCUGUGAUACCAAGCAGUCAAAACUACCUGUCAGAUGUCCAAUCCCUGAUCCAGAAUUUCAAGGAGCUGUGGAGGCAGCUGUACAAUGGGAGUGUCAUAAACCAGAGAACUUUGUGUCCAGGCUAUGUCUAUUAGGUGAGUAUAUGGUGAGAAGGCAGCUGUCUGUGAACCAGAAGGAGGGCCCUCACCAAGAAGUGACCAUGCUGGCACCCUGAUCUUGGACUUCUGGCAUCUGGAACUAAAGUUUGCUUGCUUUCAAGCCUGGAACGCCUGGGACCUUCAGUGAACCUCUUCCUCAGAUACAUGCCUGCGUAGUGUCAACUUGCUCUAUUGCUGGGAAGUGCUUGGCUGAUUAUCUUCUUCCUGCCCUGGGAGAUGUCUCACUAAUCAUUCAUUCAUUCAGCAAACAUUACAACGUUCCAGGCACUGUGCUAACUACUGAAUAUUCAGUGAUAUAGGAUAAAAUCUCUGUCCUAAAGUUGCUUGCAGUCAGAUGGGAGAAAAGCAAGUAAAUACAACAAUUUGUGAGCUUUAAAAAAGACCUAUAACAUCUUGUGAAGGAGGGGCAGAACUUAUCAUCCUCAACUAACAUAGAGAAAAUUGUCUCAUAGAGCAGGAGCUGAUAGCCCUUGGCUUUCUGGAUGGAGGAGACAGCAAUGGAGUGGAGGGAUUUCUCAGGAAUCUCCCCCAGGGGCUGCUCUAC
rnacentral:lncRNA from 1 species